GACGAACCGUGCGAACGUUGUUCGGAAUCACCGGGCUUAAAGGGCGCGUAGGCGGGCCACCAAGUCCGCGGUCGAAAUCCCCGGCUCAACCGGGGAAGUGCCGCGGAUACUGGGGCCUCGAGGGAGGUAGGGGCGUGCGGAACACUGGGUGGAGCGGUGAAAUGCGUUGAUAUCCAGUGGAACUCCGGUGGCGAAGGCGGCACGCUGGACCUCAUCUGACGCUGAGGCGCGAAAGCCAGGGGAGCGAACGGG
rnacentral:rRNA from 1 species